rnacentral:rRNA from 1 species
UACGAAGGGGGCGAGCGUUGUUCGGAUUUACUGGGCGUAAAGGGCGCGGAGGCGGCUCAUUUUGUCAGGCGUGAAAGCCCCGGGCUUAACCUGGGAACUGCGUUUGAUACGGAUGGGCUAGAGUUCGGGAGAGGAGAGUGGAAUUCCCAGUGUAGAGGUGAAAUUCGUAGAUAUUGGGAAGAACACCGGUGGCGAAGGCGGCUCUCUGGACCGAUACUGACGCUGAGGCGCGAAAGCGUGGGGAGCAAACAGG